GAAGGGAGUCGACCACCGCCUGCCGCCGCGCCGGAGUCACCUCCGACUGCCAAAAAAGAUAAAAAUUCUCCUAUCCGCUCAGAAUUUAAUUUUGAAUACCUCUAUAACCAAAUUGGAGUAAAAAGAACGGUGGAUGAGCCGAAAAUAGUAGGCAAAGCCCGGCGGUGCCGCCGCGGACAAAACCUAAAAUCUCCUCUGAUGAGCCCUUUUCGAUUCUCGUUUCGUAUAAUUUUUCAACCAUUGUGAUCACCGUUCUAUUUUCUACAGUUGAUCGAAGAAAAAUGCCCAGCCGCAAAAGUGAGUCGGUAGAGUUGCCGCAUCGAAAAAUUCUACCGCAGGUAGGUUUUUAUU
rnacentral:lncRNA from 1 species